UUUGCCUCUAGUUGCUAUCUAUCCAAUCAUCUCGGGUUUUCUUGUUUUUUUAAAGUUUGAUUGAAAUGGCAAGUCAAAGAACCACACAGCUCAUAACCAGUCUUACAAGGCUCACAAGAACGGGAUCAAGAAACCAAGAAGGCACAGAUGAAUCCCAAGUUCGUGAGGAAUCUAAGAGAUAUGCAAGGAAGCAUAACAAGAAGAGUGGUGAAUCUACAACGGAGGAAGAGUAAAUCUUGGAACCGUGUUUGGUUCCUCUUUCACCUAGGAAAGAAUGUGGAGUAGAAAGCAUACACCUUGAUCGUGAUUCAUGAAAAUAGUUUUAGCUCAAGGCGUAGUUUUGUCACUGAAAUGUAUAGCACACUACAC
rnacentral:misc_RNA from 1 species